rnacentral:rRNA from 1 species
GAACGCUGGCGGCGUGCUUAACACAUGCAAGUCGAACGGAAAGGCCCUGCUUUUGUGGGGUGCUCGAGUGGCGAACGGGUGAGUAACACGUGAGUAACCUGCCCUUGACUUUGGGAUAACUUCAGGAAACUGGGGCUAAUACCGGAUAGGAGCUCCUGCUGCAUGGUGGGGGUUGGAAAGUUUCGGCGGUUGGGGAUGGACUCGCGGCUUAUCAGCUUGUUGGUGGGGUAGUGGCUUACCAAGGCUUUGACGGGUAGCCGGCCUGAGAGGGUGACCGGCCACAUUGGGACUGAGAUACGGCCCAGACUCCUACGGGAGGCAGCAGUGGGGAAUAUUACACAAUGGGCGGAAGCCUGAUGCAGCAACGCCGCGUGCGGGAUGACGGCCUUCGGGUUGUAAACCGCUUUCGCCUGUGACGAAGCGUGAGUGACGGUAAUGGGUAAAGAAGCACCGGCUAACUACGU